CAAAGUACAGACCUCUCCACAGCCAAGAAAUGUYUGGAGGACGGAUGGACCCACUGGCUCCCAUUCUCCAGCUAAAAAGAUGGCAGAGACGCCUCCACCAGCCAGACAUUUCUGGUCAAAGGACAAUUCGCACACCCCUGUGAAUUCUCCACCUGCAAAGGUUUCCAAAAUACAGACUCCUCCCCAACCAAGAC